rnacentral:tRNA from 1 species
GGAGGGGUGGCAGAGCGGUUUAAUGCACUGGUCUUGAAAACCAGAGUCUCCGCAAGGUGACCGCAGGUUCGAAUCCUGUCCCCUCCGCCA